rnacentral:rRNA from 1 species
AGCAGCCGCGGUAAUUCCAGCUCCAAUAGCGUAUAUUAAAGUUGUUGCAGUUAAAAAGCUCGUAGUUGAAUUUCGGGGUUAGUAGAUUGGUCAUGCCUCUGGUAUGCACUGGUCUCACUGAUUCCUCCUUCCUGAUGAGCCGUAAUGCCAUUAAUUUGGUGUUGCGGGGAAUUUGGACUGUUACUUUGAAAAAAUUAGAGUGUUUAAAGCAAGCUAACGCUUGAAUACAUUAGCAUGGAAUAAUGAAAUAGGACGUUCGAUCCUAUUUUGUUGGUUUCUAGGAUUGACGUAAUGAUUAAUAGGGAUAGUUGGGGGCAUUAGUAUUCAAUUGUCAGAGGUGAAAUUCUUGGAUUUAUUGAAGACUAACUACUGCGAAAGCAUUUGCCAAGGAUGUUUUCAUUAAUCAAGAACGAAAGUUAGGGGAUCGAAGACGAUCAGAUACCGUCGUAGUCUUAACCAUAAACUAUGCCGACUAGGGAUCGGAUGAUGUUAAUUUUUUAAUGACUCAUUCGGCGCCUUACG